rnacentral:rRNA from 1 species
CGAGUAGGCGGCGAUACAAGUCUGGUGUGAAAUACUUCGGCUCAACCGAAGAAACGCGCUGGAAACUGUAUUGCUUGAGUUUAGGAGGGGGAGCUGGAAUUCCUGGUGUAGGGGUGAAAUCUGUAGAGAUCAGGAAGAACACCGGAGGCGAAGGCGAGCUCCUGGCCAUAAACUGACGCUGAGGCGCGAAAGCGUGGGGAGCGAACAGGAUUAGAUACCCUGGUAGUCC